UACGUAGGGGGCAAGCGUUGUCCGGAUUUAUUGGGCGUAAAGAGCGUGUAGGCGGCCACACAGGUCAGCUGUGAAAACUCGAGGCUCAACCUCGAGACGUCGGUUGAAACCGUAUGGCUAGAGUCCGGAAGAGGAGAGUGGAAUUCCCGGUGUAGCGGUGAAAUGCGCAGAUAUCGGGAAGAACACCCGUGGCGAAGGCGGCUCUCUGGGACGGUACUGACGCUGAGGAGCGAAAGUGUGGGGAGCGAACAGG
rnacentral:rRNA from 1 species